UGCGCGUCCCGCCCGCCGGUUCCUUCCACCUGCGCGGCGGCGGCGCUGGGGAGCCGGUGCCCCGGGGCUAGGCGAUGUGAGCCCCCAUGGGCGCCGGCCGGCCGCAGCGGGGGGCGGCCUGGCUGCUGGUGCUGCCGCUGCUCCUGCCGCCGCCCCCCGCGGCGCACACAGGAGAGUUGUAUUGUUCUUUGCCCAACCCUAGGAAUGUCCAUUUUGAAUCUAUAAACAUGAAGAAUGUUCUUCACUGGUCAGCACCAGAAGGCACAGGAGAUGGAGUACUCUACAAGGUGAAGUAUUCAGUAUACGGUGUUGGCAAAUGGAUUAGAAAGCCAGAAUGCAGGAAUAUCAACAGAACAUGGUGUGACCUCUCCGAUGAGACCUCUGACUAUGAAGAACAAUACUACGCAAGCGUUAAAGCCUUCCUAAAUGGGAUGUGCUCUGACUGGAUGGAGACCACGCGAUUCAACCCUCUUACAGACACAAAAAUUGGCCCACCCGUGGUAAGUGUAUCUUCUACUGAGAAAUCUAUUUCAAUCUUUCUGACUGCUCCUGAGAAGUGGAAGAGAAGUCCUGAGGAAGAAUCCGUAUCUCUGCUUCAAGUGUAUCCUGGCCUGCAAUACAACGUGUCUGUCCUCAACAAAAAAACAAAGAAGCGGUGGUGGUUCUCCGUCAGCAACAACACCUUGGUUGUGCCCUGGUUAGAACCUGGAACGGCUUAUUGCGUCAGUGCACAGAUACAUGUCACCACACCACUUUUGCACAGUGGGUUCUCUAAAGAAUAUUGCAUUGCUACUUUGAAAGAUAAAACGACAGAUGAGACUAUAACAAUCGUAUUUGGAUAUGUUCUGCCUAUCAUGCUUGCCGUCCUUUCUAUUUCAAUGACGUGCUAUUGUGUGCACAGGUAUAUUCACGUCAGCAAACAGAAACAUCCAACAAACCUGGUAUGGCACUACACUGACAAAUGCAAGGAAAAGGUUUUCAUACCAUGUGAAAAAAUAGUGGUAAACCUUAUCGCUCUUAACGUGGAUGAGUAUAAGCCAUCUCAGGAAUCCAAUAAUCUCUCAGAAAGGAGAAGUCCCCAUUACUACACUGUUUACAAUGGCAUCGAAGGGAAGGAUUUGCCUUCAACAGACGUGCUGGAAACCAAACACUUGCUUGAUAUUUCACAUGAAGAGAUUUCACUCAAAGAGGAUAUUUUAGCAGAAGGGGACCAAACUGGGAACUGGCCAUCUUAUGGCCAAACUGGAACAAAGAAUACUUUGAGACGCAAAAAUGCAGGGACUGUGGAAUAUGAACAUGAUGUAAGGGCUGAAGACUUCAGUCCUGAGCAGAAACUAGAAGACCUCUGUUUGAAAGAGAAGACCUCUGCUUCCAAGGGACUACUAGGUGAGCCACAGAUUGUUUGGGGGGACUUGUUUAAUGUGAAAACAGGACAGCCGUAUUGCCCCCAAUUAGAGGUGAGGGCAACAGACCCUUGUUUGGGAAAGAAAAUAGAGGAACUUCAUUUGAAGAUGGUUGAUGCAGCAGAUGAACUGCCAGCUGAGACCCGUAUCAACUUGGUGGACUUGAAUGCUGAAAAAUCUGGGCAGACAUCCUAUCCUCAGCUGGAACAAAUAGCACAGGGCCUCAUGGAGAAAGAGGGUGGACAGACCAUAUUAGUAGAUUGGGAUCCUCACACUGGAAGACUGUAUAUUCCCACCUUGUCCAGUGUUGAAAAUGAGGUAUGUGAAACAGUAUUCACGUGUGAUGGUCCUGACGAAGAUGGAAUUUUGUCCAGGCUGUUUGAGAAAGAGGUAAAUAAAUCAUCAGAGGACCAAGAAAUGUAUCUCCUGCAAUUCAAGGAACAAUGGGGACUGCACGUAGAAAUGGAAGACUGAACAGUAAUUCUUCUAAAAUAUUCUAAAAUGCAAAAUCUUGUUUCAUUUGCCAAAGAGAGCGAUGGACUCAGUAGAGCAAACACAUCUUAAUGUACUGAAGUUUUUGAAACCAUCACAGUUGAACAACUUAUUCAUGUUAACCUCCAAGGAAAUCUCAGCAAAAUCUUGGUAUUUCAGUGCUUCUCUCAGCUCCAGUGUCCAUCCUGGCCAGCCAAGCGAGCAGGACAUUUAGAAGCCAUUGCCAAAUUGCCAGCUUCCUUCUCAGCACUACGAGAAAAGUGAGAGAGAUUGAUCCAUCACUUCUGCCAGGGCUGGAGAGUCUGAAAGGCAGCGUGGUCAGCACCCAAAAUCCUCCGCAACUGGAGCAUUUGGAAAAGAAACUCCACCUUCUUCCAUGAAAGUGUGUGUGUGUGUGGGUGGUUCUACGUUUGAUAGAAGAUCCAAUGAAGAUAGAAAAUGGGAACUGAAGAUUUUAUUCUGAAUGCCUGGAGCACUCUCUAAUACUGACAAUUUUCCUGACAUUUCUGUGGCAUUCAGCAAUGCAGAGUUUCCCAUUACUAGGUGCCUUCUUAAGACCUGUGAUUGUGUUGAAGACCAUGCUGUAAAAGCGAAACCAUCCCACCCAUCAUCUGUAGUUUGUGCAGUGAUCAGGUCAUGUUACUACUGGCUCCCUUAAAAAUUAAUGUUUUAAUU